ACUACCUUUGGGAACAGAUUGUUUUAGAGGUACUGAGACAGACCGUAUACUACCUUUGGGAACAGAUUGUUUUAGAGGUACUGAGACAGACCGUAUACUACCUUUGGGAACAGAUUGUUUUAGAGGUACUGAGACAGACCGUAUACUACCUUUGGGAACAGAUUGUUUUAGAGGUACUGAGAGAGAGACAGACCGUAUACUACCUUUGGGAACAGAUUGUUUUAGAGGUACUGAGACAGACCGUAUACUACCUUUGGGAACAGAUUGUUUUAGAGGUACUGAGAGAGAGAGAGAGAGAGAGAGAGAGACAGACCGUAUACUACCUUUGGGAACAGAUUGUUUUAGAGGUACUGAGAGAGAGACAGACCGUAUACUACCUUUGGGAACAGA